UACAGAGGUCUCAAGCGUUGUUCGGAUUCAUUGGGCGUAAAGGGUGCGUAGGUGGCGCCGUAAGUCGGGUGUGAAAUCUCGGAGCUUAACUCCGAAACUGCAUUCGAUACUGCGGUGCUUGAGGACUGGAGAGGAGACUGGAAUUCAUGGUGUAGCGGUGAAAUGCGUAGAGAUCAUGAGGAAGACCAGUGGCGAAGGCGGGUCUCUGGACAGUUCCUGACGCUGAGGCACGAAGGCCAGGGGAGCAAACGGG
rnacentral:rRNA from 1 species